CCACCUCUGACAGUUUCUCCUACAUCCCAAGGGCACCACCACCCAGGUGUCAAGUCUUCGUGAGUCCCCAGGGGACACUCUAGGCCCAACCCUAACUGAGAGGCAAACAAGAAAUCCCUUUGGACGGUUAAACCCAGUGAGGGUGCAGUUCCUGCAGAAGAUGACAUCCCACUGACACUGACUGCCAACCUGGACGACAUAGUGACGUUCAAAGACACGGUCAUCCUGGAGAUUAAGCAUAGUAACACCUAUCGGAUCCCCAUCCAGGCCACCGGGAUUGGUUCUACCAUUGUUUCCGACAAACCAUUUGCUCCAGAACUCAACUUGGGAGCGCAUUUUAGGUAGGGGAAUACCAUGGGGCAAUCGUAUAGGUAAUUACACAUGUCUCAGUCUUAAUUAAAUGGAACUAAGCCCCCUCCAUCCCUCUCCUAGCUCCCCCCCCCACUCUUUCCUUCCUUGGUGAAUGUACCGGAUAGUCACAACUUGGUUACAUCUGCUACAAGGAGACAUUUCCACACUGUCAUCCCAUGCUCUAGUUCCCUUUCUGCUACUGCGGUAAAACAACUUAGGGGCGGGUUUAUUUCUCCUUGACACUUCCCUGUCACUGUAUAUCAUUUGAGAGAAGUCAGAACUCAAGUCAGAACAUGGAGAAAUGCUGCUUGCUUACUCACACUCAGACUCUUGCUUAACCAAUUUCCUUAAACAUCUCAAGAAUACCGUGCCUAGGGACUAGUAACACCCACAGUGGGCUGGACCUCUGACAUCCAUUACUUAAUCAAGAGUAGAUCCCCUAGACACAUGCCCAUAGACCAACAUGAUAAAAGCUAUUAUUUGAGCCUUUCCAACUUGGGCCCAGCAAAAUGGCUCCCACAAAGAUGGGUGGCGAGAAGAAGAAGGGAAGAAGAAGGGCCAUUCUGCCAUCAACAAGGUGGUGACUGGAGAAUACACCAUCAACAUUCACAAGCACAUCCAUGGAGUGGGCUUCAAGAAGCAUGUUCCUUGGGAACUCAAAGAAAUUUGGAAAUUUGCCAUGAAGGAAAUGGGGACUCCAGAUAUGCGCAUUGAUACCAGUCUCAAUAAAGCCGUCUGGGCCAAGGGAAUAAAGAACAUUCCAUAUCACAUUGUUCAGAAAACGUAAUGAGGGAAAGGAGUCACCAAACAAGCUCUACACAUUGAUAACUUGCGUGCUUGUUACCACAUUCAAAAAUCUACAGACAGUCAAUGUGGUAACAACCUGCUGAAUGUCAAAUAAAGUUGCAGAACUGCC
rnacentral:lncRNA from 1 species